UCAUUCUCCCCUUGGCUCAGGCACAAUAGCUCCAGGAAGAGAAGGCGGCACUAAAGACAGGAGGAAAUAGGAUAAUUUGGAGUGGCCUGUAUUUUGUUUUCACUACACAUAAACACAGGGCAUUCAUCUCAGCAGGAGGGCUGCCUGGGUAAGAGGAAGCACCGAGCCGAUGGGUAUAAGGCCAUGGCCAAAGGACAUUCAGAGCCUCAAGGUUGAGGAACUGUGUUUAACCAGACAUGUGACACUCACGUUCUUUCUCUUCAUAACAUUGUCUGACUGGAUAUUAACUAGUGUUACGCAAACCCGACAUGUUAAUGGGCCCGAAAAAACGUAGAAGAAUGGGCUGGAAUAGGAAGAAUAGGGGAGUUUCCAAGGCAAGAACAAAAAUGCAUGGCUCCCAGCCGCACCGCUAACUCCCUCUGACCUCCGUUGUGGAAGAGUUUGAAUCUUCGCUCCCCUUUUCUCCACCUACUAACAUGUUUGAUCUUCUGGCAACUGGUUCUCUAUUUAUCACAACAUGGUUCUUUUUUUUUUUUUUUUCAAAUUGAGAUAUAGUCCGCCUAAUAGAAUAUGCAACAUUAUAAAGUAUAUAGUCCAAUGGUAUACUUUGAUAGACAAUAAUCACUGCUAAUUCCAGAACAUUGUCAUCGCCCCCCUCGAAAGAAAUACCAUACCCAUCAGCCUUUACUCCCCAUUCUCCCUUCCUCCCAGGCCCCUGGCAACAACUAAUUUACCUUCUGCCCCUAUGGAUUUGCCUAUUCUGGACAUUUCAUAGAAAUGUGUGUCUAGUUUCUUUCACAUAGCUUGUUGGCUUCAAGAUUUAUCCGGUUGUAGCAUGUUUCAGUACUUCAUUCUUUUUUUUAAUGUUGAUUUCUUUUUGAAAGAGAGUGCACACACAAGCGGGGAAGGGCCGGAGAGAGAGAGGGGGACAGAGGAUCCAAAACCACAGAGCCUGAUGUAGAGCUCGAACUCAUGAACUGUGAGAUGACGACCUGAGCCAAAGUCAGAUGCUUAACCGACUGAGCCACCCAGGUGCUCCAAUCACAUUUUGUUCAUCCAUUCAUGAGUUAUUGGACAUUUGGAUUAUUUUGACUUUUUGGCUAUUAUGAAUAAUGCUGCUGUGAGUAUUCAUGUACAAGUUUUUGUGUGGUCAUAUGUUUUUAAUUCUCUUGGGUACAUACCUAAGAGUGGAAUUGCUGGGUCAUGUAGUAACUCUAUAUUUAACCCUUUUGAGGAACUGCCACACUGUUUUCCACAGCGACUACACCAUUUUACAUUCCCACCAAUGUAUGAAGAUUCUGGUUUCCCCAAAUCUUGCUACCACUUAUCACUGUCUCUCUGUUCGAUCAUAGCCAUCUUAGUGAGUGUAGAGUAGUAUCUCAUUGUAGCUUUGAUUUAUAUUUCCCUAAUGACCUAAGACAUUGAGCAUCUUUUCAUGUGCUUAUUGGCCAUUCAUGUAUUUUCUUUGGCGAAAUGUCUCUUCAAAUCCUUUACCCAUUUAAACAUUUGAUUAUUUGUCUUUUUACUGAGUUUUAAGAGUUCCUUAUAUAUUCUGGAUAUUCUGGAUACUAGACUUGUAUCAGACAUAUGAUAGUUGUGGGUUGUUUUUUUAUUUUUAAAUAAAGUCCAGUUUAUCUAUUUUUCCUUUGGUUUGUUGUGCUUUUUGUGUCAUGUCUAAGAAACUGUUGCCUAAAUCCAAGGUCAUAAAGAUUUCUCUCCUGAGAGUUUUAUAGCUUGAGCUCUUCCAUUUAGGUCUUUGACUCAUUUUGAGUUAAUAUUUAUAUAUGGCGUGAAGUGUAGGAAUCCAACUACAUUAUUUUGUAUGGGGAUAUACGGUUGUCCCAGCAUCAUUUGAAAAGACUGGUCUUCCCACAUUGAAUGGUGUUGGCAGCCUUGUUGAAAAUCAGUGAGCCAUAAAUGUGAGGAUUUAUUCCUGGACUGUCAGUUCUGUUCCAUCAACUUACAUGUCUGUUCUUAUGCCAGUACCACACCGUGAUUACUGUAGUUUUGAAGUAGGUUUUGAAACCAGGGCGUGUGAGUCUUCCCAUUUUGUUGUUCUUUGUCAAAAUCGUUUUGGAGCACCUGGGUAGCUCAGUUGGUUAAGUGGCCGGCUCUUGAUUUCAGCUCAGGUCAGGACCUCAUCGUUUGUGAGAUGGAACCCCGUGUUGCAAUCUGCACUGACAGCAUGGAGCCUGCUUGGGAUGCUCCCUCUCCUUCUCCCUCUGCCCCUCCCCUGCUCACACUUUUCCCCAGUCACACUCGCUCAUGUUUGCUCUUCUGCACGGGUGUGUAUGCUCGCUGUCUCUCAAAAUGAAUAGAUAAACUUUUUUUUUUUUUAAAGAUCAUUUUGGCUAUUCUCGGUCCCUUGAAUUCACAUACAGAUUUUAGAAUUAGCUUGCCAGUUUUUGGAAAGAAGUCGGUUGGGGUUUUGAUAGGGAUUAUACUGAAACCACAGUUCAAUUUGGGGUAUAGUGCCAUUUUAACAAUAUUUUCUUCUGAUCCGUGAACAUGGCAUAUCUUUACAUUUAUUUCAAUCUUCUUUAAUUUCUUUCAACAACGUUUUGUGGUUUUUAGUGUGAUUCUUGCACUUCUUUGGUUAAAUGUUUUCCUAAGUAUUUUGUUCUUUUGAGUACUGUUAUACAUGGAAUUGUUUUCCUAAUUUCAUUUUUGGAAUAGUCAUUGCUGAUGUAUAGAAAUAAAGCUAAUUUUUACAUAUUGA